CUUGAUAAUUAUAUGUUGAAUUUGUUGAUUGAAAAAAUAGAGUAUCCCGAAAGUAUUAAUUAAUAAUGAAAGGGCUUUCUAAAUAUCACUUAAUGGUAUCAAUUGUAUUGAACUGACAAGACCUGACUGCAAAGAGGUUUUGUGGUAGUUUUGUCCAAGCUUGGCACCUUGACUCUCUUAGUUUGUCCUACUUUGACACUAUUUCCUUCCUCACAUAAAAGGCUGCACAUGGUCAAAGCAGUGAAUCUCCUUUGAGGAAAAAAGUAACUGCUCACAACCAAGGGAUUGAUAAGUGUCUGUUUCGAUGAUAAAAAGAUAUUAUCGACUCAUGCUUCAAGUUCUGUAUCAAAUACAAUUCAGGAUGAGUCUGACCACUACCGAUCUUCUGACAGGGCUCGAGUGUUUGAGGUUGCAACCUAGAGAAGAACAGAAGUUCUUAUGCCUGAAAAUCUUGAAAACAUGUGGACAAUUGGAAGAAACUACAAAAAGAAACUCCAGAAGAAUACUGCCAGAGGACCUUAGGUUGCACAAGAAAAAAUUUUAGAAAGCAGUACCAUGCUUAGAAAGGAUUUAGUGACAGAAGUACCAAUGCAAAAGCCUGAAACUUCAAGAAGAAUGGAAGAUAAAGUACUUAUUCAAUUACCUCUAAAGCCUCAACCAGAUACGGGGUUUACUGAUAUGGAUCUUAAUAAGCAAGUUUAUUCCAAGAGGUCUAUUGCUGAUGAACUUGAGCAUGCUACUUCUGUUUUUCCUCGUGAAAAUAGAAAUCAGUUUAAAAGGUCAAAUAGCACUUCUGAUUUGAAAGUUCAAUUGAACAUGGAAGACAUGUUUGGUAGCAAAGGUGAAACUCCUAUCAUUUCAGAAUUUUAUAAUCCAAAUAUUAGCAGGCACAAUAUAAUGUUAAGGUGCCUCAGAUAUGUUGGUCCCCACUGAGGGACUGCAUGAUCCGAAGCUAAGGUGCCGGGUAGGACAACUCAUUUUCCUUAUCUUUUCAGGUUCUUGAAGCGUGUGUUGACUGUGUGUACAGGUUGAAAAUGCUUAUGUAAUUCUAGAAGUUGAAUUGCAAUUAUGACCCAUGCUUUGUACAAUCAUUCCUCUAUUUCAAUUUGAAAAUCUCACUUCUUUUCUUCUAUGUAGAAUUCGUUAAACCAUUGAGAGUAGUUCUAAAAAUUUAUCUCCAGUUUUCUAAAAUUUACAUGCACGAUCUAUUAUGUGGAAGAAAAUUUAACAAUAACCAUCUUCACAUGUUAGAUGGAUUGGUUGCCUGGAUUUUCAUGUUCUGCUAUUUUUAAUUUUUAGAUGGCGGUAAAUAAUUAUUAUUUUUUUAGUCAUCUGAUGACACCAUCGUUGACAUAGAUUCAUAUUGUUGCAGGUUAUUCGGGUAUACUUUGAGAAACACGGGUCAAAAUCUUUUGCAGUUUAAUCAAUUGCUGUGACUGAUGCUGACAAUAAGUGUUUUGUGAAAAUGUCUAGAUGUUACUUCGAUUUUGAAUCACUGAAUAUUGCUCUGCUUAAAAUAUUUUGCCUGCAUAUUGAUCUACUUUAUUCCAGCCUCAGUGCAAGAACAAGUUUAGUUUCAUAAUAAGAUCAGGAUUGCUCGUCUUAGACUACUCGAAUGAUAGUUCUAAUUUGGGACUUUGUCUUCAAGUAUCAGAAUUUUGAGAGAUUGCAUCGGCAUCUUAAGGACAUCCCAAAUUAUACGUUACAUUUACCUCCCUAAAGGAUAUUCUCAUCAAGCUCUGAGGAUACUUUUGUUCAUCAGCGUUGUAUUCAGCUUGACAAGUAUCUACAAGAUAUGUUAUCAAUUGCCAAUGUUGCUGAGCAACAUGAAGUAAGGGAUUUUUUGAGUCCCUCCUCCAAGGUGUUUAUUCGUUCUGUUGAAAACCAUUCUACACUUUUAGCUUCUUUCGAGUGCAAAAUAAUUUGUGUUUUUCACCAUUCAAGAGUUACUCAUUCAAGAAAUCGGCUUCCGUGAUGAGAACUCUGGCAAUUAAUGUGGAUGAUGCUAUGGAGGCUUAAUGCGGACGGUUGUUGGUUCACCCUCCACUUCUUAUGAACUGGCUUUUUCAGUUACAACCAGGAACUUGUCUUGGAACUCUGAUGAUAUUAACAAACUGGGUUUGGGGCAAAGUACCUCAGAGUCAAUUAACAGUUCUUCUUAUAACGAGGAAGGUGACAAGGAUAUAAACUAUGUGGCAGAGAAAGUAUAUUAUUCAGCACAAGCCAGUGGGUGGCAUUCUGACAAUGAAUUGGACAGAAAGGGGCUUCCACCAAGGGUUUUUAAAUACAAUGAAGAUGUGCAAAACUUGGAUUUUGAUUCAAUAGGUGGUUUGAGAGUGCAAUCUGAAUAACAUAGUGUUAGCAGAUUUCCGGAGGCAAGAUUAGCAUCAACAUCAGUUCAUAAAGAGGGUCAAAUAGUGGUGCCUCCAGAGAUAUUGUACAUUUGGUAGAUUACUUUGUAAUCACCGGUUUUCAUUUCAUUUUUUUUUCAUUCUUCUUUUUCUAUUCUGAUUAUUGACCGAAGUUAUUCUAGAGUAAUUAUCACAAUCCCAUUUCCUUCAUCUAUCUACUCUACACAAACACUUUCUCACUCUUUAAGUAUUUAGUGUAUUAUUUCAUUGUA